CGGGGAAUAUUGGGCAAUGGAGGGAACUCUGACCCAGCAAUGCCGCGUGAGUGAAGAAGGUUUUCGGAUUGUAAAACUCUUUAAGCGGGGACGAAGAAAGUGACGGUACCCGCAGAAUAAGCAUCGGCUAACUACGUGCCAGCAGCCGCGGUAAUACGUAGGAUGCAAGCGUUAUCCGGAAUGACUGGGCGUAAAGGGUGCGUAGGCGGUAAAUCAAGUUGGCAGCGUAAUUCCGAGGCUUAACCUAGGGACUACUGCCAAAACUGGUGAACUAGAGUGUGUCAGGGGUAAGUGGAAUUCCUAGUGUAGCGGUGGAAUGCGUAGAUAUUAGGAGGAACACCGGAGGCGAAAGCGACUUACUGGGGGCAUAA
rnacentral:rRNA from 1 species